GCUUACAUUCUGAACGUCUAAAGGUUUCCUGUUGCAAAUAUCAGGAAGAUGUUCUUAAUGUAGGCUUC
rnacentral:pre_miRNA from 1 species